UAUUAUUGUUUAAACAGACCACAGAGAUUGAAUACUUCCUGAGCAGAGAAAUCAGUGAAGAUCUUGACAAGCUGACAGAUAUUUUUCAAGAAGCCAAUAUCAAACAGCACAGCUCACGUUUUCUUGCAGCAGGCUUUAGCAUACAUGAAAAGUAAUGUUUCGAAAGGUGUGGAACAGCUUCAAGAAAUAAACAGUAAAAUUGACCAUGUGGACCUACAAAAAAUUCCAGAAACAAUCCAUCAGGUGGAACUUUUCAGGUGGCCGAUUACAAUUGUUCUCCUGUGCCUUUUAAUUUUUUUCUGCCUCAUUCUGUUGUGGGGAAUCAUCCAACAUUCUCGCUGCCUGCUUAUUUUUUUUGCUGUGGUGGGGCUUGUGUCAGUGGUCCUGUGCUGGAUUCUUGUGUCUCUCUACCUGGGACUGUGUGUUGCUGUCUCUGACUUCUGUGUGGAUCCAGAACCCUUCUUGUAUAAGCAAGCACAAUCAAGUAUCAAUACCAAUGUAUUAUCCUACUACCUGCAUUGUGAUGACUCGGUUGUUAAUCCGUUUACUGCUCCAAUCAAAGAAAGUACCAAGACAGUAGACAACAUGGAGAGCACUCUGAAUGUUGUAAUUCAGAUAACUGGUGUGUUUUAUCCUGAGCAGCAGGUGAAAGCAACACUAAACCACCUGUCCACAAAGUUAAACAGCACAGAGAAGACUGUGUCAGGGAUGGCUGCCCUCUUGAAUUGUCAGGCUAUGCAUAAAGAUUACGUUACUGCUAUGGAGGCUACUUGUGUGGAUGUCUUAAAGGGCAUGGCCUACAUGCUUGUAUCAGCUGCAGGAGCAGGUAUCUUCUUUACAGUACUUAUCUGGGUAGCUUCACACACUUGGAUCCACAUUCGUAAGAAACGAAGAACCAACAAUAUAGAUGAAGAAGAUCCUUUCCUUCCACCAUCAGCAGUUCACACCAAUGCAGGCAGAAUUCGAGACACGUAUGGCACUAUUGGAUUAUUCUCCUUUUUAGGUCAUCAUUCUCCAAAUCGACAUUUUGCUGCUGCUUCAGUGAAUUCCCAUUCAUCGGAUCAAGCUUUUCUUCCUGGGCGGUAUACACCCCCACCUUCUUAUCAUCAACUUUCUGGAUGUGCAUUUGAGGGAAAUGAAGGCUACAUAUCUCAGAGGGCCUGAAGAUCAAUCCACCUACUUAAUCUGACAUGUUCUACAACAUUUGAACUCAUCACAACUGUUUUUAUACCUUUUAUUCUGUUGAAGAAAAUAUUGUACAGAAGUUUUACAUUGCAUUCUUAAGAAAUUAAGGAUAUUAUGUUGUAUAUUGAUGUUUGUCUUUUCCUUUAGGCAAAAAAAGCACUAUUCAUAUGACAAGUUAUAUAUAUAUAUAUAUAUCUUUCUACCUGCAGAAUUUUCUCAGAUAUUUAUCUAUUCAAUAUUGUACUAGUCAAAUAGUUUAAGUUAUGAUAAAGAUUGUUUAAAUGAUAUUAAAGAAUGAUGCACUUCCUAUUGUAAAAAACUUCAUAAAAUGUAAAGAAAAACUUUAGAAAACCUGAAUUGUUAAACAUGUUGGUGAGGGUGUGUGAGAGGUAAUUGAUAAGAAACAUGUUGUUGAGGGUGUGUCAGGAUUAGUUGUUAAGAAACAUGUUGGUGAUGGUGUGUCAGGAUUAGUUGAUAAGAAACAUGUUGGUGAUGGUGUGUCAGGAUUAGUUGAUAAGAAACAUGUUGAUGGUGUGUCAGGAUUAGUUGUUAAGAAACAUGUUGUUGAUGGUGUGUCAGGAUUAGUUGAUAAGA
rnacentral:misc_RNA from 1 species